rnacentral:rRNA from 1 species
GAACGGAAACGAAAAUAGCUUGCUAUUUGGCGUCGAGUGGCGAACGGGUGAGUAACGCGUAUGAAUCUACCCAGUAGAGGGGGAUAGCCCGAAGAAAUUCGGAUUAAUACCGCAUAAUCUCUACGGAGUAAAGAAGGCCUCUUUACAAUGCUUUUACUAUUGGAUGAGCCUGCGUUAGAUUAGUUAGUUGGUAGGGUAAAAGCCUACCAAGGCGACGAUCUAUAGCUGGUUUUACGAGAAUGAUCAGCCACACUGGAACUGAGACACGGUCCAGACUCCUACGGGAGGCAGCAGUGAAGAAUAUUGGACAAUGGGGGAAACCCUGAUCCAGCAAUGUUGCGUGUGUGAAGAAGGUCCGAGGAUUGUAAAGCACUUUCAGUAAGCAAGAAAAAUGUAAAUCUAAUAGAUUUGCAUGUUGACCACUUAUAGAAGAAGCACCGGCUAACUCCGUGCCAGCAGCCGCGGUAAUACGGAGGGUGCGAGCGUUAAUCGGAAUUACUGGGCGUAAAGGGUAAGUAGGCGGUUUAUAAAGUCACAUGUGAUAGCCCUAGGCUUAACCUAGGAAGU